AACUCAGUUCCGUGGUCCGAAAGGGCGUGGGUUCGAAUCCCACUCUUGUCAACAACCAUCCUCUCCACCCAGCUCAGGUGGAGCCUCUCUUUUUCUCUCUUUCAACCUUUUU